UGUAAAUAUUUAGGGUUUUUGUUUUUUGUCUCUCUAAACAACGAGAAUGGUGGGAACAACAGAGGCAGUGGAUUCAUCAGCCUCCAACAACAAGAAGAACCGUAUCCAAGUCUCCAAUACCCAGAAACCCCUCUUUUUCUACGUUAAUCUUGCCAAGAGGUACAUGCAGCAAUACAAUGAGGUGGAACUCUCAGCGCUUGGAAUGGGUAUUCUUUCUUCGCUCUUCUUUCCACUUUCACUUGCUUGGUUUACUCAUUAUUGGAACUUUUUUUAUUCGGAUGUUCUUUUCAGUAUUGAAGUGGCAGUUUGCUUUGUUGCUCUCUGUAUUUCUUAUUAAAUGUUAUAUGUUUAGCUUUUAAGAGAUGGGAUUGUCAUCUAAAUUGAUAGCUUCAACCUUUGUGGCUAAAAUAUCAUGGAGCUCUUAAACUGUUUUAUUCUUGUUACCUUUCAUGACUACUUCAAUGUAAUCAAAGGAACAAAGUGAACGAUUGGUUUUAAACCACUCGAGCUGAAAUACAACACAUUACCUUGACAUACAAACAUGCUAUGUGUAUAUUUAUGGAACGUGAUUUAUGAUUGUGUUGCAAUGCGGCUCUUGGUUUUGAAUGUUGAGGAAAACAUAACUGUUUCUUUCUCUUGUUUUUCUUUUAACUAGCUUUCUAUGCUGCCUGACAACUAUUGCUAUUGUUGUUACCAUUGCUGAGAUAUUGAAGAACCAUGGGCUAGCCAUAGAGAAAAGUGAGUCUUACUUGUAACAAAAUAUACAUUUUAGCUUUCAUCUCAUUUUUAUAACUCAAACUUUGUAUCAUGAUAUAUAUGCAUUAUAACCAAUUAGAUAUAUAAUGAGGUCUCUGGUUAUUGUGUAGUUGAUAUGAGAGAUGAAUCAGGCGGACUGGGACAUAAAUUCUAU